rnacentral:lncRNA from 1 species
CUUUGCCCUUCACCUGAUCCUGUUUGGCAGGGGAAUUACAUCUGGGCUCCAGACGUCAUGGCCACUUGACCGUAUGUCACAUGGAGGAGACCCAAAGAAGAAACCAGGCCUUAAAAAGGAUUUCUGCCCAGAGAAAAGUACUGAAAGCUCUUCACAGAACACCGUGGUGACAGGCACAGAGACUAAAUACACACGCUCACCCAAGUGGAGGGAGAGGCGGCUUUUCCUCCAUCAUCAAUGACUGUCGUAUGCUGGCAGCUGGAAGUUUGCUGGGGCCCCUCAGGCAUUGUGUUGUGGGAUUCCCGUGUGUGGCAGAAAGGGGAAGGGAUGUCCUAUGGCAAGGACAUC